UACAGAGGUCUCAAGCGUUGUUCGGAUUCAUUGGGCGUAAAGGGUGCGUAGGUGGCGAUGUAAGUCUGGUGUGAAAUCUCGGGGCUCAACCUCGAAAUUGCAUUGGAUACUGCGUUGCUUGAGGAUUGUAGAGGAGAGUGGAAUUCACGGUGUAGCAGUGAAAUGCGUAGAUAUCGGGAAGAACACCCGUGGCGAAGGCGGCUCUCUGGGACGGUACUGACGCUGAGACGCGAAAGCGUGGGGAGCGAACAGG
rnacentral:rRNA from 1 species